UUUCUUUUUGGGCAGAGUACCCCGUAGAGCUAAGGGAGGUUUCGCUUUCCGUCGCCAUGUUAAGUUCAGGCAACGGCUUCAGAGAUAUCCUAUUGGAAUCAAUAUUGAUGGGAUCUAACAAGCUUAUUGUUAAGUGUAGGAACUUUGCUGUGUUAGUAGAUCUUCAUAUUUUGCCUCAAGGCUCAAGAAAAGAAACCAGCUGGUUUUCAGAACAGAUGAAAAAGGUACCUAAAGAAUUCUGAGAGAAUUGGAGAAUUCUAGAGAACUUUAGACUUCUGUGUGACUU
rnacentral:lncRNA from 1 species